UCCUACGGGAGGCAGCAGUAGGGAAUUUUCCGCAAUGGGCGAAAGCCUGACGGAGCAAUACCGCGUGAGGGAUGACGGCCUGUGGGUUGUAAACCUCUUUUCUCAAGGAAGAAGUUCUGACGGUACUUGAGGAAUAAGCAUCGGCUAACUCUGUGCCAGCAGCCGCGGUAAU
rnacentral:rRNA from 2 species